UACAGAGGUCCCAAGCGUUGUUCGGAUUCAUUGGGCGUAAAGGGUGCGUAGGCGGCGCGGUAAGUCGGGUGUGAAAUCUUGGAGCUUAACUCCGAAACUGCAUUCGAUACUGCCGUGCUUGAGGACUGGAGAGGAGACUGGAAUUUACGGUGUAGCGGUGAAAUGCGUAGAUAUCGUAAGGAAGACCAGUGGCGAAGGCGGGUCUCUGGACAGUUCCUGACGCUGAGGCACGAAGGUCAGGGGAGCAAACGGG
rnacentral:rRNA from 1 species